AGCUAUACAUGCAGUCGAGCGAAUGAUGAGGAGCUUGCUCCUCUGAUUUAGCGGCGGACGGGUGAGUAACACGUGGGCAACCUGCCCUGUAGACUGGGAUAACUUCGGGAAACCGGAGCUAAUACCGGAUAAUCCGUUUCACCUCAUGGUGAAAUGUUGAAAGACGCUCUCGGGCGUCACUACAGGAUGGGCCCGCGGUGCAUUAGCUAGUUGGUGGGGUAACGGCCUACCAAGGCGACGAUGCAUAGCCGACCUGAGAGGGUGAUCGGCCACAUUGGGACUGAGACACGGCCCAAACUCCUACGGGAGGCAGCAGUAGGGAAUCUUCCACAAUGGACGAAAGUCUGAUGGAGCAACGCCGCGUGAGUGAUGAAGGUUUUCGGAUCGUAAAACUCUGUUGUAAGGGAAGAACAAGUACGUUAGGAAAUGAACGUACCUUGACGGUACCUUAUUAGAAAGCCACGGCUAACUACGUGCCAGCAGCCGCGGUAAUACGUAGGUGGCAAGCGUUGUCCGGAUUUAUUGGGCGUAAAGCGCGCGCAGGUGGUUUCUUAAGUCUGAUGUGAAAGCCCACGGCUCAACCGUGGAGGGUCAUUGGAAACUGGGAGACUUGAGUGCAGAAGAGGAUAGUGGAAUUCCAAGUGUAGCGGUGAAAUGCGUAGAGAUUUGGAGGAACACCAGUGGCGAAGGCGACUGUCUGGUCUGUAACUGACACUGAGGCGCGAAAGCGUGGGGAGCAAACAGGAUUAGAUACCCUGCUAGUCCACGCCGUAAACGAUGAGUGCUAAGUGUUAGGGGGUUUCCGCCCCUUAGUGCUGCAGCUAACGCAUUAGCACUCCGCCUGGGGAGUACGACCGCAAGGUUGAAACUCAAGUAAUUGACGGGGCCCGCACAAGCGGUGGAGCAUGUGGCUAAUCGAAGCACCGCGAAGAACCUUACCAGGUCUUGACAUCCCAGUGACCGCUCUAGAGAUAGAGUUUUCUCGGGGACAUGGUGACAGGUGGUGCAUGUUGCUCACCUCGUGUCCUGAGAUGUUCGAUAGUCCGACAGGCAACCUAACU
rnacentral:rRNA from 1 species